AUCGUUCUUUAUUUAUAGCACGCAAAAGUAGAAUAUUCCACAGACCAGAGGUUACUACAAAUAACCCUAAAAGUUUGUCUUCCCUCAGUAUAAUAAUAGUUAAUUCGGGCAAAUACUUUAACAUUGCAGUGUCUGUAAUACAUUAAUGUCUCUGGUUGCUAAUCGUACAAAUAACUCAUUUUAUCAUAUUCAUUUUGAAAUCAUGCGCGAUUUGGGCAAUCUGAUCGGGUAAAAAAUAGUACGAUUACAGCCAAAAUCGCACUAUUUUAGAGCUGUAUAUUUGCACUAUAUUGAGUUUUGCUCGCAUCAGCAUGAGUUGUAGGCUUAAUCGUAUCAUUUUUCAACCAACCAUAUAGAAGUGGUGACCUUAGCUAGCCA
rnacentral:lncRNA from 1 species